rnacentral:rRNA from 1 species
CCUACGGGAGGCAGCAGUGAGGAAUAUUGGUCAAUGGGCGCGAGCCUGAACCAGCCACGUAGCGUGAAGGCUGACUGCCCUACGGGUUGUAAACUUCUUUUAUAUAGGAAUCAAUUGUUGCACGUGUGCCUUUUUGUAUGUACUUUAUGAAUAAGGAUCGGCUAACUCCGUGCCAGCAGCCGCGGUAAUACGGAGAAUCCGAGCGUUAUCCGGAUUUAUUGGGUUUAAAGGGAGCGUAGAUGGGUUGUUAAGUCAGUUGUGAAAGUUUGCGGCUCAACCGUAAAAUUGCAAUUGAUACUGGCAGCCUUGAGUACAGUAGAGGUAGGCGGAAUUCGUGGUGUAGCGGUGAAAUGCUUAGAUAUCACGAAGAACUCCGAUUGCGAAGGCAGCUUACUAAACUGCCACUGACAUUGAUGCUCGAAAGUGUGGGUAUCAAACAGGAUUAGAGACCCGUGUAGUC